ensembl:lncRNA
GAGACUCGCGAGCGCGUUUUCCGGUCUGGCUGCGCCUUGCGUGUUUCGGGUCGUAGUUUGCUCUGGGAGCCGGCGAGGCUCUGGGGCGGGCCGUUGACCUGUUCUCGCUCUCAGCCCGAGCUCCUGGGACGGUGCCGCGCGCCGGGCGUCAGUGUAGGACAGAUGCACAUAGGCCAAGGACAAAAGCACGUCUACUGGCAACCGCAGCACUGCAGAGAAGUGCGGCUAAAACAGCGCUGGGGGGGCUCUGCCCCUUCUGCUGGCGGCUCCGCGGCGGAGGGCCGGUGGCUGCGGAGACGCAGUCCUUACCCCACGACCGGGAAGCAGAUGCUACACCGCGCGGCAGCGUUGGUGCUGGUGAGGAGGACCGCGUGCAUGCUGUUUUCUUUGCCCUCUUAAUUUUCUCAGUGAAACACAAAACACAGUAAGAAUAGCACCGAGGAGAAUUUUGGGGACACAGUGAACAUUCAUAAAUACAAAUGUUUUUGUUAAUCUAACAAAGGCCCGCGCUGUAUCACGUGCCACGAAGGAGCCGAGGUGCUGCACAGGGAGGUGCUGCCUGUUCUGUAGGCUGCUGCCCCUAAGCGAGCCGCCCUUGGGAGCUCUGUCCUGGCUCUGCUUCAGCACUGCUUGACCUCCCGUCUUCUCCGCAGGAUGGGCCCUGGAGCCUGCAGUGUCCCAAGUGGAGUGCUGCCUGCAUGUCACACGUGAAGCAUCUACAGAUACAUGAGCAGUAACUCUCUGACCAGGACGGAAUGACCUCUCCAUGGGCACCGGUGGACACGCCGGUGAUAGGAUCCCCACUUAAAUCUCCGUGGCCCUCCAGGGACCUCCUCAAAGACUGGAGAUGGCUCUGGACCCAGGAUUUUCUGGGCUACCUCACGCAAAUGGUGUUCUCACGUGUGCACAGCUCCGGAGUUCCGAUUUUCCAAAGGUGACCCAACCAUCACAUCAUGAAAGCCAUCCACCCUGACGGAUCAAAGAGUUGCAAACGCUGAAUGAAACCAAGCAUCUCUGACACCCUGGGGGCCUUCUGGAAAUCGGUGCCGGCUCCCAAGGCCCUUUGUGACAGGAAACAGGCAGACUCCUCCUCUUUCAGGUCGUUCACGUACACUGGCGCACCUGCCAACGCACACCUGUACUGAUGUCUUUAUCCACAGCGCCUGAACCCAGCACGCUACCCAAACAGGAGCUAAUCUGGUCGCCUCCGUGAGCCUGAAUGACUGCAGGUGGCCACUCUCGUUAGCACCCUUUGUCCGAGCAGCGCCAGCAGCAGGAGCUGAAGCCACAGAGUAACCCAAAGGGCGUGCUGUCUGCGGGCUUCCAGCAUGUUCCGGUGGGACUCUGACGUCGAGCCGUGCCGGUGAGAAGCUUCAGGUGCGGUCUAAUGGAAAGCGAGUCAGCUCAGUCCCCACCGUCAAGUUUACCUGGGGCUCCCGUGGGGACCUAGGCACCUCAAGUCCAAGGGGGACGCCCGGACCUCCUCGUUCGUGGGUGUUCCUCUCUUUCUACCGCAUGAGAGGCGCUUGGCUUUUAUUGUUUCUCUUCCUUUUUGGCCUCCCCACGGAGUUCCAGAGCCAGGCACUGAAUCUAAGCUGCAGCGGAGACCAACUCUGCAUGUGUGGCAAUGACGGCUCCGUGACCACUGUGCUGGGCCGGGGAUUGAACCUGCAUCCCUGCUGUUGCAGAGACACCAUGGCUCCCUUUGUGCCACAGCAAAUCGUCUUUUCUUCUUAAGUUUUAGCCCAGGGCCCUCUGCUGUCUGAGGCCCUUCCACCUUACGCACCUGGCUCUGAGCCAGUGACAGCCCGGCCUGUCCUAGAACGUGAGGUCUGCCAGCAGAAACUGAGCAUCCUUCCCUCGCUGCCCACGCUGGGGAGACUCGUAGCCUGCAAAGCCACAUUCUCCAAAAUCAGCUUCUCCAGCAACAGAAGCAUUAUCUUGGUUUCCUGUCUGCCAGAUCGUUUUCCUGACAGCUUCCCUUGCUGAGGACAGAGGAGAGGAGCCACUGGCUGAGCCCCUACCCUGGGCAACGAGCAUGCUGGUCCUUGUGGUCUGGUUGAGGAGCAGAAACGGCUGUGGUGGGAAGGGGAGCAGAGGCCACGGAUGUCGGAGAGCCUGGACCAGCUGGAGGGUCCUGGCGGCUGGAGCCCAAGAAGCCUACUGUGAGUGGAGCCUGGCAAAGGCAGAUGCUAAGCCCCGUGGCUGCUCUUCCCAAACUGCUGAGAGGGCAGAAGGACACCGCCCAACACAUGGACGGUGUGCAGGAAGCCGCCUUCAUUCCGGAAAGACCACCACCAGACCGCCAGACACCAGCUUGGAAGACAACGCCAGCUCACCAAUCCCCGAUCCUUAUCUGCAGCCCCGUUCUUCUCCCCCAGUCUCUCCUGAGGGGGCAUGGUCUUUGAGGCAUGAGCCUGCUGUAACUCUCCUUUGCCUGGUAAAGCAAUAAAGCUGUUUUUUCUCCUUCGCCC